CCAUCUGAGGCUGGUGGACCCACGGGUGGCCAAAACGCUUCGGGGUGGGACUCUCUCCAUCCCUCCUCCCUCCCUCCCUCCAUUCCCUUCGGACUGAAGAGGGAAGCACUGGGGGACAGGGCUCUCUUGCCCUCUUGUGGCCACAUCACCGCGGUGGACGCUGCUGGGCCAUGGAGUCAGAGUGAGCGCCUUCUCAGGCUGGAGGGGUUUCGAGACUACACCCAGUCAACAACCCGCAGCCGUCGCUCCUUGGAGAGACUGUUGUGCAGAGGAAGGAAGCUGUUUCCAGUUACUUGUAGAAAGAUUUCUUUUUGUCUUUUAAUGAAAGAUGCAUAAAACCUCUCCCGGGUCAUUCCUGGUGUUCCUGGAGGAAACAACUGGGAGGGGCUGCAGAAGGCACCCAGACCUCCUGGACCGGCAGGGUGAGUCACCAAGUCAGCCCCCGGGUCUGGAGCAAGGCCGAGCCCCCCACAGUGCAGACCAGUCUUCUGAGAAACGACUCCGGGCUUG
rnacentral:lncRNA from 1 species